GAUGAACGCUGGCGGCGUGCCUAAUACAUGCAAGUCGAGCGAACGGACGAGAAGCUUGCUUCUCUGAUGUUAGCGGCGGACGGGUGAGUAACACGUGGAUAACCUACCUAUAAGACUGGGAUAACUUCGGGAAACCGGAGCUAAUACCGGAUGAUAUUUUGAACCGCAUGGUUCAAAAGUGAAAGACGGUCUUGCUGUCACUUAUAGAUGGAUCCGCGCUGCAUUAGCUAGUUGGUAAGGUAACGGCUUACCAAGGCAACGAUGCAUAGCCGACCCGAGAGGGUGGUCGGCCACACUGGAACUGAGACACAGUCCAGACUCCUACGGGAGGCAGCAGUAGGGAAUCUUCCGCAAUGGACGAGAGGCUGAUGGAGCAACGCCGCGUGAAUGAUGAAGGUCUACGGAUCGUAAAGCUCUGUUAUUAGGGAAGAACAUAUGUGUAAGUAACUGUGCACAUCUUGACGGUACCUGAUCAGAAAGCCACGGCUAACUACGUG
rnacentral:rRNA from 1 species